UACGUAGGUGGCAAGCGUUGUCCGGAAUUACUGGGCGUAAAGCGCAUGUAGGCGGCAGCGCAAAGUCGGGCGUGAAAUCCCACGGCUCAACCGUGGAAGUGCACUCGAAACUGCGCAGCUAGAGUCCUGGAGAGGAAGGUGGAAUGCUUGGUGUAGAGGUGAAAUUCGUAGAUAUCAAGCGGAACACCGGUGGCGAAGGACGGCGACCUGGGUAGAUACUGACGCUGAGGUGCGAAAGCGUGGGGAGCAAACAGGG
rnacentral:rRNA from 1 species